rnacentral:rRNA from 1 species
GUUCCUGGGAGAUCGCAGUGGUGAUGGUUCGAUCGUCAGAUUGAACGCUGGCGGAGCCGUUUACAUGCAAGUCGAAACGGCAGCACGGACUUCGGUCUCCAGGGCGCAGGCAUCCGUGAGAGCGUAUCGAACGCUCAGUAGCGGGGGAUAACUACGCGAAAGCGUAGCUAAUACCAUAAUGCCCUUCGGGGGAAAGCGGGGACCUUCGGGCCUCGCAAUUAUUAGAGCGGCUGAUAUCGGAUUAGCUAGUUGUGGCAACGGCUCACCAAGGCGACGACUGUAGCAGCUGAGGACGACCAGCCACACUGGGACUGGAGACACGGCCCAGACUCCUACGGAGGCAGCAGUGGGGAACUUCAGACAAUGGGGAAACCCUGAUCCAGUCAUCCUUAAGUGUGUGAUGAAGGCCUUCGGGUUGUAAAGCACUUUUGGCAGGAAAGAAACGGCACGGGGAUAAUACCCCGCAACGACGGUACCCGCAGAAUAAGCACCGGCUAACCACGCCAGCAGCCGCGGCAAUACGUAGGUGGCAAUCGGAAUUGGGCGUAAGCGUGCGCAGGCGGUUCGGAAAGAAAGAUGUGAAAUCCCAGAGCUUACUUUGAACUGGUAUUUAACUACCGAGCUAGAGUGUGUCAGAGGGAGGUGGAAUUUUGAGAAUGUAGAUAUGGAGGAACACCGAUGGCGAAGGCAGCCUCCAGAUAACACUGACGUCGCUAUAUCGAAGUGGGGAGCAAACAGGACAGAUACUCCCAAAGGGUCCACGCCCUAAACGAUGUCAACUAGCUGUUGGGGCCUUGGCCCGUAGCGGUGAAGCCAAUGCGUGAAGUUGACCGCCCAGAGCAUGGCCGCAAGAUUAAAACUCAAAGGAAUUGACGGGGACCCGCACAAGCGGUGGAUGAUGUGGUGGAUUAAUUCGAUGCAACGCGAAAACCCACUACCCUUGACAGGUUCAAUCCCGAAGAGAUUUGGGAGUGCUCGCAGGAACCGGAACACAGGUGCUGGGUAUGGCUGUCGUCAGCUCGUGUCGUGAGAUGUUGGGUUGGGUCCUGCAACGAGCGCAAAACUCGCCAAUAGUUGCUGGGCCGAAAGGGCACUCUAAUGAGACUGCCGGUGACAAACCGAGAAGGUGGUGACGUCAAGUCCUCAUGGCCCUUAUAGGUAGGGCUUCACACGUCAUACAAUUACCGGGACAGAGGGUCGCCAACCCGCGAGGGGGAGCCAUCCCAGAAACCCGAUCGUAGUCCGGAUCGGCAGUCUGCAACUCGACUGCGUGAAGUCGGAAUCGCUAGUAACGCGGAUCAGCAUGUCAGUGGCAGCCGUUCUCGGGUCUUGCACACAUUACCCCGCCCGUCACACCAUGGGAGUGGGCUUUACCAGAAGUAGUUAGCCUAACCGUAAAGAGGGCGACACACUGGUAGAUACGGACUGGGGUGAAGUCGUAACAAGGCAA